rnacentral:rRNA from 1 species
GGGGCGUGCCUAUACAUGCAGUCGAGCGGACAGAUGGGAGCUUGCUCCCUGAUGUUAGCGGCGGACGGGUGAGUAACACGUGGGUAACCUGCCUGUAAGACUGGGAUAACUCCGGGAAACCGGGGCUAAUACCGGAUGCUUGUUUGAACCGCAUGGUUCAGACAUAAAAGGUGGCUUCGGCUACCACUUACAGAUGGACCCGCGGCGCAUUAGCUAGUUGGUGAGGUAACGGCUCACCAAGGCGACGAUGCGUAGCCGACCUGAGAGGGUGAUCGGCCACACUGGGACUGAGACACGGCCCAGACUCCUACGGGAGGCAGCAGUAGGGAAUCUUCCGCAAUGGACGAAAGUCUGACGGAGCAACGCCGCGUGAGUGAUGAAGGUUUUCGGAUCGUAAAGCUCUGUUGUUAGGGAAGAACAAGUGCCGUUCAAAUAGGGCGGCACCUUGACGGUACCUAACCAGAAAGCCACGGCUAACUACGUGCCAGCAGCCGCGGUAAUACGUAGGUGGCAAGCGUUGUCCGGAAUUAUUGGGCGUAAAGGGCUCGCAGGCGGUUUCUUAAGUCUGAUGUGAAAGCCCCCGGCUCAACCGGGGAGGGUCAUUGGAAACUGGGGAACUUGAGUGCAGAAGAGGAGAGUGGAAUUCCACGUGUAGCGGUGAAAUGCGUAGAGAUGUGGAGGAACACCAGUGGCGAAGGCGACUCUCUGGUCUGUAACUGACGCUGAGGAGCGAAAGCGUGGGGAGCGAACAGGAUUAGAUACCCUGGUAGUCCACGCCGUAAACGAUGAGUGCUAAGUGUUAAGGGGGUUUCCGCCCCCUUAGUGCUGCAGCUAACGCAUUAAGCACUCCGCCCGGGGGAGUACGGGUGCCAAGACUGAAAACUCAAAAGGAAUUGGACGGGGGGCCCCGCACAAACCCGGUGGAACCAUGUGGGUUUAAAUU